rnacentral:rRNA from 1 species
GAUGAACGCUGGCGGCGUGCCUAAUACAUGCAAGUCGAGCGAACGGACGAGAAGCUUGCUUUUCUGAUGUUAGCGGCGGACGGGUGAGUCACACGUGGAUAACCUCCCUAUCAGACUGGGAUCACUUCGGGAAACCGGAUCUAAUACCGUAUAAUAUUUUGAACCGCAUGGUUCAAAAGUGAAAUACGGUCUUGCUGUCACUUAUAGAUGGAUCCGCGCUGCAUUAGCUAGUUGGUAAGGUAACGGCUUACCAAGGCAACGAUGCCUAGCCGACCUGAGAGGGUGAUCGGCCACACGGGAAGUGAGACAGGGUCAAGACGACUAAGAGAGGCAGCAGUAGGGAAUGGGCCGCAAUGGGCGAAAGCAUGACGGAGCAAGGCCGCGUGAGUGAUGAAGGUCUUCGGAGCGUAAAACUCGGUUAUUAGGGAAGAACAGAUGUGGAAGGAAAUGUGCACAGAGUGACGGUACCUAAUCAGAAAGCAACGGCUAACUACGUG